GAUGAACGCUGGCGGCGUGCCUAAUACAUGCAAGUCGAGCGAACGGACGAGAAGCUUGCUUCUCUGAUGUUAGCGGCGGACGGGUGAGUAACACGUGGAUAACCUACCUAUAAGACUGGGAUAACUUCGGGAAACCGGAGCUAAUACCGGAUGAUAUUUUGAACCGCAUGGUUCAAAAGUGAAAGACGGUCUUGCUGUCACUUAUAGAUGGAUCCGCGCUGCAUUAGCUAGUUGGUAAGGUAACGGCUUACCAAGGCAACGAUGCAUAGCCGACCUGAGAGGGUGAUCGGCCACACUGGAGCUGAGACACGGUCCAGACUCCUACGGGAGGCAGCAGUAGGGAAUCUUCCGCAAUGGGCGAAAGCCUGACGGAGCAACGCCGCGUGAGUGAUGAAGGGCUUCGGAUCGUAAAACUCUGUUAUUAGGGAAGAACAUAUGUGUAAGUAACUGUGCACAUCUUGACGGUACCUAAUCAGAAAGCCACGGCUAACUACGU
rnacentral:rRNA from 1 species